AAAAGAUUGCCACUGAAAUUUCUACCAAAAAAAAUAUUUUCCGUUCUCUCGCAAUUCACGAAAUUCAAAUAAUGGUGCCACUCGACUCCAUCAAAUAGUAGAAUUCUUUGAAUUCAAAUUCGUCAGCAAUGUCGGAUCCAGCAGAUGCCAUCAUCCCCAACUUCUACUUGAGAAUUAAGCAUCAGCCACAAUCCGAUUUAAUCGUCAGUAUUAAUUACAAAAAUUCCGAUUACUUUCAGUUUGUCGUAUUUAUUUUUUCUUGGUUGAAAUGUCAUUAUACCACUAACGAGAUCCUACUUUCUUUUCUAGCGUUUGCCAUAUACUAUAUCCUUCGCAAUCGAAGGGGUGAAUGAAAGUAUUGCAACCUUACGAACUAGCGGAGGAACUUGAAAGGUGUGGUUAAAGAAGGAGGGCCGCAGUCGACGUAUGUGUUUCACCCAUGGUUGACGACAAUUUGUUCAGCGCAACGAUGUGGCUUUAGGUGCUCCGGCCAGCCGUCGAGGCCCAGCAAAGCGUUACUCAAUAGAACUUGUGUUUGAGAUUGUGGCUGCGGUCGCUGCUCAUUAUAGUGGUAGAGAUUAAUCGGAUCUUGAAAUGACUACAGCGAGAGCCUCAAAUCCUGGUUGCUGCUACCACAGUGCUGAGUGAGGAGCGGUACUUGUUCACGAAGACGGCGCUUCUUCGCAAAUAGCAGUUGGGAGGGGGAGUAGAUGGCGGCGGGCAGAAAGGAAAAUGAGGAUUGCCUGAUUUUUUUUUNUUUAAUUUCACGUAUAUUGACACAUGGUUGUUCACAGGAACACCUCUAUUUUUAGAUGUCGGAUUAUUUUUGCAGGCCACAAAUAAGAAAAAAAAUGAAACGAUAAGUAUUGUUUUAUA
rnacentral:lncRNA from 1 species